AUUGAACGCUGGCGGCAGGCCUAACACAUGCAAGUCGAACGAGUGGCGGACGGGUGAGUAAUGUAUGGGAAACUGCCCGAUGGAGGGGGAUAACUACUGGAAACGGUAGCUAAUACCGCAUACCAUCGGAUGUGCCCAGAUGGGAUUAGCUAGUGGGUGGGGUAACGGCUCACCUAGGCGACGAUCCCUAGCUGGUCUGAGAGGAUGACCGGCCACACGGGGACGGAGACACGGUCCAGACUCCUACGGGAGGCAGCAGUGGGGAAUAUUCCACAAUGGGCGAAAGCCUGAUGCAGCCAUGCCGCGUGUAUGAAGAAGGCCUUCGGGUUGUAAAGUUCUUUCGGCGAGGAGGCGUUACUCAAAGAGGAAGCACCGGCUAACUCCGUGCCAGCAGCCGCGGUAAUUC
rnacentral:rRNA from 1 species